UUGUGUAACGUCAGGCAGAAUAUAAUGUUGUGUUGUGUAGCUAUAACAUGUAACGUCUCCCAAUUUAAGAAAAGAUUUCAUCUCCCUAUCUAAGAAAAGAUUUUGUCUCCUAAGAGUAACAGAGCAAUUUAAUAACAGAUAGUCAUGGAAGUCUGUUGUUUCAUGUUUGAUCCUCCGCUUCUUGAUUUUGGAGACCAAGCAAUUUGUCGUUUGCUCAUGCGAACCAUUAAUCCCAACUUUGCUUUCUUUGCAGUGCUAUGGGCAAAAAGUCAAUAUCAAGAACAACAGGAUUAACGAAAAGCACAUCAACAUCCUUUCAAUCUCUGGUUCAUCUCUUCAUAUCCACUGUUCACUUGUGGAGGAUAACGUACUUGAGUCAGUUAUUGACAAAUACUUCUUUUGAAGUAGUUUUCCUUAGAAGAGAGGGGGGAUAUGUGGAAGACACCUUGUAAAUCCACACCACCAGGGGUUCAUUGUCUAUCGAACACAAGCCCGUAGUCUUCCCAAUCCUUUUUUUGGCUAAGCCAUUCGUGAACGUACGUAUUCUGGGUAAUAAAACUUUUUCCCAAAUAAUU